rnacentral:rRNA from 1 species
GACGAACGCUGGCGGCGUGCCUAAUACAUGCAAGUAGAACGCUGAAGGAGGAGCUUGCUUCUCUGGAUGAGUUGCGAACGGGUGAGUAACGCGUAGGUAACCUGCCUGGUAGCGGGGGAUAACUAUUGGAAACGAUAGCUAAUACCGCAUAAUAGUAGAUGUUGCAUGACAUUUGCUAAAAAGGUGCAAUUGCAUCACUACCAGAUGGCCCUGCGUUGUUUUAGCUAGUUGGUGGGUUAACGGCUCACCAAGGCGACGAUACAUAGACGACCGGAGAGGGGGAUAGGCCACCCUGGGACGGGAACGCGGCCCAGGCGACUACGGGAGGGAGCAGUAGGGAAUCGUAGGCAAUGGACGGAAGUCUGACCGAGCAACGCCGAGUGAGAGAAGAAGGUUCUCGGAUCGGAAAGAUCGGUUGUAAGAGAAGAACGAGUGUGAGAGUGGAAAGUUCACACUGUGACGGUAUCUUACCAGAAAGGGACGGCUAACUACGUG